rnacentral:rRNA from 12 species
CUGGUUCCCUCCGAAAUUUCCCUUAGGAUAGCUGCAACUGUAUCCAGUUUUAUCCGGUAAAGCGAAUGAUUAGAGGAAUCUGGGUUGAAACGAUUUGGACCUAUUCUCAAACUUUAAAUGGGUAAGACGGGUGUGCCUUGCUUCGAUGAAGGCCGCUCGCGAAUGGAAGUUGUUAGUGGGCCAUAGUAGGUAAGCUACUCUGGCGAUGCGGGAUGAACCGAACGUGGUGUUAAAGCGCCGGACUAUCCGCUCAUCAGAUCCCACAAAAGGUGUUGGU